ensembl:lncRNA
AGUCAUUUCCUGUUUUUUUUCCACCUUAUUAAAAUACACAGUGUGGGUUGAAAUCUGUAAACGCAUACUCAUCACGCUUUAGGUUGACAUGUCUGACAGAGAUUUUACUCUCCUUUUUUGCCUUUCUCUAACACUUCAACAUGUAUGCACUGGAUUCCAGGUGUGGACACUAUUGCAGUACAACAGCAAAGACAACAACUCAGUCAAUAUAAUAUGUCAACAUAAUGCACUGGAAAACUGGACUAUUCGUGCCGAAGUGCUCAUGAAUAAUGAAAACUUUUGCAAUGCAAAGCAAAACAACACAGCAUGUGAAAUGAGACAAGAAGGAAAACAGUUCAAUUUUACACUGAAAAUUACUGCUGAGCAAAGAAGACUUCCUUUUAAUUGUUUGGUUUACAAAAGUGGACCACUCCCCAUCCAAUUGAGAAAGGGAGAAGAAAUGAUGCUGUUCCCAGGAUGCGAUAUUCCACCUCCGAUACCUACGAACUCAAGCAAAUGCUUGGAUGUGGGCAGUGAUUGCGCUCAUACUGCUCUAGUCGGUUUACUCACCUGGGCUCUGAUUGGAUUUGUGCUUCUGCUGUUUCUCUACAGUUUCAUUAUUACUGUUGUUUAUAUCAAACUAAGGCUCGCGAUUUCUGAAGAGCUAACAUUAACCUAUGUUCCAAUGCAGCAAAAUUGGUUCAGACCCAAGAAGAAAGUGAAAGUGCAGGGAGCAGACAAGAAUGCAGAAUACAUGGAUAUGCGUAAGGUGCAUCACCAAGCACAACCCAUCAGAGACAUGAACCACAACUCUCGCCUGAAUCCUGUGGGCUUUAGUGUCUGAUGUUUCUGUAAUUAUUCAUAUGAGUAUUGAUUUUAUAACACAGAAGAGAAAACUGUAGCCUACAUUGCCUUCACCUGAAAGCAUAUUAUUGCUAUACCUUAAGACUGUAAUUUCGCUAUCUUGUGUCUUUGCUAUCUUGCUUCUAAGCUGAUACUGUUUAUCCAGCAAAUGUUAUGUUAUAUUAUGUUAUAAAAAUAUAUAAAUAUAUAAAAA